GGCCUAACACAUGCAAGUCGAGCGGAUGAGUGGAGCUUGCUCCAUGAUUCAGCGGCGGACGGGGGAGUAAAGCCUAUGAAUCUGCCUGGUAGUGGGGGAUAACGUUUCGAAAGGAACGCUAAUACCACCUACUGCCUACGGGAGAAAGUGGGGGCUCUUCGGACCUGAGGCUUUCAGAUGAGCCUAGGUCGGAUUACCUAGUUGGUGGGGUAAAGGGCUACCAAGGGGACCAUCCGUAACUGGUCUGAGAGGAGAUCAGUCACACUGGAACUGAGACACGGUCCAGACUCCUACGGAAGGCCCCAGGGGGGAAUAUUGGACAAUGUGCUAAAGCCUGGUCCAAACAUGCCGCGUGUGUGAACAAGGGCUUGGGGUUGGAAAUCACUUUAAGUUGGGAGGGAGGGGGGUAAGAAAAACCUUGCUGUUUUGACGUUACCAACCUGAAUAAGCCCCGGCUAACUUCCUGCCAUAAGUCCCGGGCAUACGAAGGGGGCAAGCGUUAAUCGGAAUUACUGGGCGUAAAUAUUGGGUAGGUGGUUCAGCAAGUUGGAUGUGAAAGCCCCGGGCUCAACCUGGGAAUUGCAUCCAAAACUACUGAUCUAGACUACGGUAGAUGGUGGUGGAAUAUGCUGUGUAGAAGUUCACAUGCGUAGAUAUAGGAAGGAACACCAGUGGCGAAGGCGACCACCUGGACUGAUACUGACACUGAGGUGUGACAGCAGUGGGGGAGCAAACAGGAUUAGAUACCCUGGUAGUCCACGCCGUAAACGAUGUC
rnacentral:rRNA from 1 species